GAUGAACGCUGGCGGCGUGCCUAAUACAUGCAAGUCGAGCGGAAGGACGAGAAGCUUGCUUCUCUGAUGUUAGCGGCGGACGGGUGAGUAACACGUGGAUCACCUACCUAUAAGACUGGUAUCACCUCGGGAAACCGGCGCUAAUACCGGAUAAUAUUUUGCACCGCAUGGUUCAAAAGUGAAAGACGGUCUUUCUGUAACUUAUCGCUGGAUCCGCGCUGCAUUAGCUAGUUGGUAAGUAAACGGCUUACCAAGGCAACUAGGCAUAGCCGACCUGAGAGGGUGAUCGGCCACACUGGAAGUGAGACGCGGUCCAGACUCCUACGGGACGCAGCAGUAGCGAAUGGUCCGCAGUGGGCGAGAGCCUGACGGAGCAACGCCACGUGAGUGGUGGAGGUCUUCGGAUCGUAAAACUCUGUUAUUAGGGAAGAACAUAUGUGUAAGGAACUGUGCACAUCUUGACGGUACCUAAUCAGAAAGCCACGGCUAACUACGUG
rnacentral:rRNA from 1 species